rnacentral:rRNA from 1 species
AUUGAACGCUGGCGGCAGGCCUAACACAUGCAAGUCGAACGGUAGCACAGAGAGCUUGCUCUCGGGUGACGAGUGGCGGAUGGGUGAGUAAUGUCUGGGAAACUGCCCGAUGGAGGGGGAUAACUACUGGAAACGGUAGCUAAUACCGCAUAACGUCGCAAGACCAAAGUGGGGGACCUUCGGGCCUCACACCAUCGGAUGUGCCCAGAUGGGAUUAGCUAGUAGGUGGGGUAAUGGCUCACCUAGGCGACGAUCCCUAGCUGGUCUGAGAGGAUGACCAGCCACACUGGAACUGAGACACGGUCCAGACUCCUACGGGAGGCAGCAGUGGGGAAUAUUGCACAAUGGGCGCAAGCCUGAUGCAGCCAUGCCGCGUGUAUGAAGAAGGCCUUCGGGUUGUAAAGUACUUUCAGCGGGGAGGAAGGCGGUGAAGUUAAUAGCUUCACCGAUUGACGUUACCCGCAGAAGAAGCACCGGCUAACUCCGUGCCAGCAGCCGCGGUAA